UUGGAGAGCCCUGAAAGGCACCACCAGAUUGCAGAAUUCUGAAUUACCUAGUAACCCAUCAUUCAAUCGCCCGUUUCCUGAUUCCCACACUAUAAAAGAGACGGCCUUCCCAGGAGAAGCAAGCCAGGAAGAGGAGACCAGGACAGCCACCAAAACCUCUGGGAAGUCAGACAUCAAGAGAGAUGUCUCAAGUUGCAGGCCUCAUUGUCUUCUGUGGGCUGCUGGCCCAGACCACAGCGCUGCUGGAAGCCCUGCCCCUGGGCAAGGCUCUGCCCUUGGCCCUGGACCAAAGUCCCACAGAUCUUGUUGGAAGCUUGACAAGUACUCUCAGCAAUGGCCUGCUCUCUGAGGGUGUGCUGGGCAUUCUUGGAAACCUUCCACUCUUGGACAUCCUGAAGGCUGGAGGGAACACUCCCAGUGGCCUGCUGGGAGGCCUGCUUGGGAAACUGUCCUCAACGAUCCCUCUCCUGAACGACAUCGUUGAUCUGCAGAUCACUGAUCCCCAGCUGCUGGAACUCGGCCUUGUGCAGAGCCCCGAUGGCCAUCGUCUCUAUGUCACCAUCCCUCUGAGUCUGGUCCUCAAUGUGAAAACGUCUGUGGUCGGAAGUCUGCUAAAGCUGGCCGUGAAGCUCAACAUCACUGUAGAACUCUUAGCUGUGAAAGACGAACAGGGGAAGAGCCACCUGGUCCUUGGUGACUGCACUCACUCCCCUGGCAGCCUGAAAAUCUCCCUGCUUGAUGGAUUGGGCCCCCUCGUCCCUCAAGACCUUCUUGACAGCAUCACUGGAGUCUUGGAUAAUGUCCUUCCUGGGCUGGUGCAGGGCGAGGUGUGCCCUCUGGUCAAUGAGGUUCUCAGCCACUUGGACGUCACCUUGGUACAUUCCAUCGUCGAUCAUGUUGAGGCAUAGACCCCGUCUCCCCGCAUCUGCCCUGACACUGAGAACAGCAGACGCGCUAAUCCAAGGGCAGGAAUUUGUCAUCAAAGUCUAAGCCCUCCAGCAAGGGACCUCCCCUCUCCUGAGCUGGACCAUUUCCUGCUGCCCCAUCCACUCCCUGCCCAGCACCCGAGGGCUCACAGAAGGCCAGCCCAUGUCCCGGACAAGGACACCAGGUCUGGAGACCAGAGCAGCCCGCCCUCCAAGGAACCGCUCCCCCUGCUUCCCCACCAGGCAUGUGUGACAUUCCCUGUUACUUGCGCAAUAAAAUCGCCCUUUCUCGGCA